GCAUUAGUGCUGUAACGGUUAACAUGUGGUCUUCCCAUUUGUUGGCUUUGUCUAUGUCGCCGCGUUCGGAGUUCGAUUCCCUGCUAAUGCA